UCCCCUUGUCUCACUCUCUUAGAAUUUGACAGUCUGCAUCUUCAAAUCGGAUGCCCUUAUAGAAUUUUUCUUAUUAUUUUCUUGUCAAACUAGCAGGAGUGAUUAUCCGAUAAUAAUUGAUUUGUUAUCUAUUUGUUAUUUUAAAAAAUUUAGUUUUUGAAAAUUUUUAGUUCAAGGGUAAAAAUGGAAAUUUUAAUUGAUU
rnacentral:lncRNA from 1 species